rnacentral:rRNA from 1 species
GACGAACGCUGGCGGCGUGCUUAACACAUGCAAGUCGAACGGAAAGGCCCUGCUUUUGUGGGGUGCUCGAGUGGCGAACGGGUGAGUAACACGUGAGUAACCUGCCCUUGACUUUGGGAUAACUUCAGGAAACUGGGGCUAAUACCGGAUAGGAGCUCCUGCUGCAUGGUGGGGGUGGGAAAGUUUCGGCGGUUGGGGAUGGACUCGCGGCUUAUCAGCUUGUUGGUGGGGUAGUGGCUUACCAAGGCUUUGACGGGUAGCCGGCCUGAGAGGGUGACCGGCCACAUUGGGACUGAGAUACGGCCCAGACUCCUACGGGAGGCAGCAGUGGGGAAUAUUGCACAAUGGGCGGAAGCCUGAUGCAGCAACGCCGCGUGCGGGAUGACGGCCUUCGGGUUGUAAACCGCUUUCGCCUGUGACGAAGCGUGAGUGACGGUAAUGAGUAAAGAAGCACCGGCUAACUACGUG